ensembl:snoRNA
AGGUCAUUUCAAAGAAGGUUCACGUGGCUGUGAGACCAAGAACGCUUAAUGCUGUUACCAAAGAUUGCAAUAGGUUGUGAUAGCCCUCAGUAGUGCUAUGUUCCUCUGGGGAGAUAUUAAU